UCUAUAAUGCAGUCGACGCUUCUUUUUCACCGGAGCUUGCUCCACCGGAAAAAGAGGAGUGGCGAACGGGUGAGUAACACGUGGGUAACCUGCCCAUCAGAAGGGGAUAACACUUGGAAACAGGUGCUAAUACCGUAUAACAAUCAAAACCGCAUGGUUUUGAUUUGAAAGGCGCUUUCGGGUGUCGCUGAUGGAUGGACCCGCGGUGCAUUAGCUAGUUGGUGAGGUAACGGCUCACCAAGGCCACGAUGCAUAGCCGACCUGAGAGGGUGAUCGGCCACAUUGGGACUGAGACACGGCCCAAACUCCUACGGGAGGCAGCAGUAGGGAAUCUUCGGCAAUGGACGAAAGUCUGACCGAGCAACGCCGCGUGAGUGAAGAAGGUUUUCGGAUCGUAAAACUCUGUUGUUAGAGAAGAACAAGGAUGAGAGUAACUGUUCAUCCCUUGACGGUAUCUAACCAGAAAGCCACGGCUAACUACGUGCCAGCAGCCGCGGUAAUACGUAGGUGGCAAGCGUUGUCCGGAUUUAUUGGGCGUAAAGCGAGCGCAGGCGGUUUCUUAAGUCUGAUGUGAAAGCCCCCGGCUCAACCGGGGAGGGUCAUUGGAAACUGGGAGACUUGAGUGCAGAAGAGGAGAGUGGAAUUCCAUGUGUAGCGGUGAAAUGCGUAGAUAUAUGGAGGAACACCAGUGGCGAAUGCGGCUCUCUGGUCUGUAACUGACGCUGAGGCUCGAAAGCGUGGGGAGCAAACAGGAUUAGAUACCCUGGUAGUCCACGCCGUAAACGAUGAGUGCUAAGUGUUGGAGGGUUUCCGCCCUUCAGUGCUGCAGCUAAC
rnacentral:rRNA from 1 species